AAAACAGGGAGAGUAUCCCGGAUUAUCCAGGUGGUAUCAGUGGAAUCAUAAGGCUCUUUAGAAGUGUGGGGGGCGGAGCAGAAGAGGUCAGAGUGGUGUGACAUGAGGACUCCAACUGUUAUUGCCAGUUUAGAAGGUGAAGGAAGGGGCCACAAACCAAGGAGUGGGGCAGCCUCUAGAUGCUGGAAAAGGCAAGGAAACAGAUUCUUCCCUAGAGCCCCCAGCAGGAACCGAGCACUGCUGACACCUCGAUACCAGCCCAUUGAGACUCAUGCGGAACCUCCUCGAACCUACAGAGCUUUAAGGAAACCGUAUAGAACCUAUUUUGUGCUCACAAAGACUGGUUGUAAGAGAAAAAGUGAAAUGCACGUAAUCACACAUAUUGAAAAUAAAUACUUUGCAAGUGCUUGGAUUAACUGAAUUCAAUUUACAAAGAAGAUGAGCACUUUGAAUGAAAACAUAUAAUUGAAGAUUAGCCCUGAGCUAACAUCUGCCACCAAUCCUCCUCUUUUUGCUGAAGAAGACUGGCCCUGAGCUAACAUGUGUGCCCAUCUUCCUCUACUUUCUAUGUAGGACGCCUACCACAGCAUGGCUUGCCAAGUGGUGCCGUGUCCGCACCAGGGAUCCGAACUGGCGAACCCCAGGCCUCUAAAGCAGAACGUGCGAACUUAACCGCUGCACCACAGGGCCAGCCCCUGAAUUAACUUUUAGUUUCCUGAUAGGAAUAGAAGUGCACAACUUAGCCACAUUCUUUCCAGCUUCUAGUUCACAUUGUUAUUUUCAAAAUCAUCCUCCCAUCUUCACCCUCACACCCCUAAAUACGUAUGUAACAGAAGCAGUAUAUUUUAACUUUCCCCUUCUGUCAUAUUUUCGUUUCAUCCAAUCUCCGACUCUUGUGUGCAACACUCUCCAAGUUCUGCGCUCAGGGUCUGAUUCUGUUUUAACCACCCACAUCGAGAGAACUCCCUUCUUCCCAUGGCUGUGCUGUUGCCCUCCUUGAGGGAGAGCACACGGACCAUAUGAGGAGCUCAUGCAUGGCGAGCUGACCUGGAGCUCUCUGUAGCUUUCCAGUCCUCCACCCUCAAGACCGUGUGCAUUUUUCUGAAGACUGACGGGACACCAUAGCAGUAAAAGCAGGCAUGGUGACUCAUGUCAGCAGGGAGAGAUUUCUACUAAAUUAAAAAACCAUUGUUAAAGGGAGAUGUUCAUCAACUGAUGCAUGGAUAAACAAUAUGGUGCAUCCAUACAAUGGAAUAUUAUUUGGCCAUAAAAGGAAUGAAGUACUAAUAGAUGCUACAACAUGGGUGGACUUGAAAACAUGCUCAGUGAAGGAAGUCAGUCAUAAAACGAUGGUAUUGUCUGAUUCCAUUUACAUGAAAGGUCUAUAAUAGGCAAAUCCACACAGACACAGAAGGUAGAUGAGUAGUUGCCUAGGGUUGGGGAUGCAUGAGAAAGGUUAGAGCAGAUGACUAAGGGAGGCAGAGCUUUUUAGGAGUGAUGAAAAUGUUCUAAAAUUGAUUAUAAU
rnacentral:lncRNA from 1 species